rnacentral:rRNA from 1 species
GAACUGAAGAGUUUGAUCAUGGCUCAGAUUGAACGCUGGCGGCAGGCCUAACACAUGCAAGUCGAGCGGAUGAGGGGAGCUUGCUCUCUGAUUCAGCGGCGGACGGGUGAGUAAUGCCUAGGAAUCUGCCUGGUAGUGGGGGACAACGUCUCGAAAGGGACGCUAAUACCGCAUACGUCCUACGGGAGAAAGCAGGGGACCUUCGGGCCUUGCGCUAUCAGAUGAGCCUAGGUCGGAUUAGCUAGUUGGUGAGGUAAUGGCUCACCAAGGCUGCGAUCCGUAACUGGUCUGAGAGGAUGAUCAGUCACACUGGAACUGAGACACGGUCCAGACUCCUACGGGAGGC